GAAAUGCGAUAAGUAAUGUGAAUUGCAGAAUUCAGUGAAUCAUCGAAUCUUUGAACGCACAUUGCGCCCGCCAGUAUUCUGGCGGGCAUGCCUGUUCGAGCGUCAUUACAACCCUCAGGCCCCCGGGCCUGGCGUUGGGGAUCGGCGGAAGCCCCCUGCGGGCACAACGCCGUCCCCCAAAUACAGUGGCGGUCCCGCCGCAGCUUCCAUUGCGUAGUAGCUAACACCUCGCAACUGGAGAGCGGCGCGGCCACGCCGUAAAACACCCAACUUCUGAAUGUUGACCUCGAAUCAGGUAGGAAUACCCGCUGAGCUUAAGC
rnacentral:misc_RNA from 1 species